rnacentral:lncRNA from 1 species
UCGUAACUACAGAAUUACCAGGCCAUCAGUAACAGCUCGGCAGAACAUGAGAAAAUGUCAAGACAAGGAUCACCAUUUUCAGAAAAUAUAAACAGUGAGCAUACUACAGAAGUUAGAAGCAAUGUAAACAGUGAGCAUACAGCUAGCUCUACUUGUCACCAACUAGGAUAAUUACUGAUGCUUCACAUUCACUUCCAUGUCAAUCACUUAAGUGGAGAUAAAACUGAAACUUCCUUGCUAUAACAACCACAGCAUAUUAACAAAAAUGAGCGAUGCAGCACUAUACCUACUAGGAAAAUCGAUCAACACGCACACAUUUAUCAGAAUUCGACACAAUAUAUAUGUAUCCCACAUGACUGAGUUACAUGUGUGGAUGUGCUUCCAUACAGCCAGCAAUCAAGACAUCCUCAUGUCCAUUAAGCAAGACAGGACUUGCACGAACGGUUGAAUAUGAAAGAUAUCCUCGAGAAAAUAUCUCCCGCGGCCUGCAGUGAGAGAAUAGAACAAAUUAUCCAACUGCACAGCAUAUUCCUAUUCUUGUCUAGCUAUUAAAACGUAAAACAGAAAACAAUUAUCAGGUAUUCAUAGUCUAAAACCUGCUGCUUAUACUAUUUACCUGUAUCAACAUGUACUGAUAAAAUGCCAUGGAUAUUUGCACAGCUAUCAAGCAAAACAUCAUCAUAUAUAACUUCCAUAUUUGCACAGCUAUCAACUAAAGCAGCAUUAUAUAUCAACCCAGCAUUUUUUUAAGAAUCUUCGACUAACAGAAAUAAUUCUUUAGGAUAAUGCUAACCAGAUCUCUGUAGCCAAAUAAUAAGAGCCUGAGUCAUGUCCAAAUUAUCACAAUCAGAGAACCAACAUUAUCCUUUUUGCUUACUAGUAUCAUCAUAUAUGCAAAACACAUGGGUAAGCAACCUGGAAAUAUUCACGCAUUUCAUCAUGAUGGCAAAGAAGUAGUGGUCUUUACCUUGAUCAAAACAGGAG